rfam:Cavia porcellus supercont2_6 genomic scaffold, whole genome shotgun sequence.
GAAAGAUAGUUUUACAGUGAACAUCAAUCUGAUCACCAGGGUUGAUGGGGCUGAUCUGGCUGGCUAGACGGGCGUCCCCUUCCUCUCUUAUGGCUCCAUUUACAUCCUACCCAGAAGCUGCACGCUGGGUUGAAGAGGAUGACCACCAAAGCAGAGGAGGACUAGUUCUUCCAUGAAUAGUAUACAACGAUCAUCUGUUAAUAAAAAAUUAUAAGUUUAUAUGAAAAUUUGAAAAUGUCAAAUGUCUAAACACAAAUUAGAUCAUGUUAUAAUGUUGUUUCUAGUUGAAAAUUGCAUUUGUUU